rnacentral:lncRNA from 1 species
AUGUUCAUGAAAAAAAAUUAGGGUUUGUGUUAGAGCAGAAUUCUCUCCAUUUAGUCAGGUGGUACUAUUCUUUUUAUUUAAAUGUAACUUGAUGUGUUAGUGUGUAAAUACAGUCUGUGGGGAUGAGAAGGAACCAGUUCUGCCCAGUUUGAUUUGACUAUUUAAAUUAUGGAGUUGCUGAAUAGAUAUUUCUAUAUAUAGAUAAUAUUAUUUAUGUGCAACUUGAGUAAUUCACCCUUACACCUACUUAUAGAAUCAGUCAUCAUUUUCCUACUUUUUUGUUAAUAAUCAAACAGUGGCUGCCACAGAAUUCUUGAUAACUCUUUUAGUCAUAUUUAAAACAAUCUAUAACUUUAUCAAUCAGGUUAGGUAGUAAGUGGUGUUUUUUCCUUAAGGGAAACUUUAUUUUUAAUCCAAAGAAGGAAGAAAUUGAUAACUGUAACAGGAGAAGCUUCAUGUUUGAUGACAC